AUUGAACGCUGGCGGCAUGCUUUACACAUGCUAGUCGAACGGCAGCGCGGGCUUCGGCCUGGCGGCGAGUGGCGAACGGGUGAGUAAUACAUCGGAACGUGCCCAGUAGUGGGGGAUAGCUCGGCGAAAGCCGGAUUAAUACCGCAUACGACCUGAGGGUGAAAGCGGGGGAUCUUCGGACCUCGCGCUAUUGGAGCGGCCGAUGGCAGAUUAGCUAGUUGGUGGGGUAAAGGCCUACCAAGGCGACGAUCUGUAGCUGGUCUGAGAGGACGACCAGCCACACUGGGACUGAGACACGGCCCAGACUCCUACGGGAGGCAGCAGUGGGGAAUUUUGGACAAUGGGCGAAAGCCUGAUCCAGCAAUGCCGCGUGUGUGAUGAAGGCCUUCGGGUUGUAAAGCACUUUUGGCGGGAACGAAAAGGACUGUGCCAAUACCACGGUUCGAUGACGGUACCUGCAGAAUAAGCACCGGCUAACUACGUG
rnacentral:rRNA from 1 species